UACGAAGGGGGCUAGCGUUGUUCGGAAUUAUUGGGCGUAAAGGGCGCGUAGGCGGUGCUGUAAGUCUGUGGUGAAAUCUCUGGGCUCAACUCAGAGUCUGCCAUAGAAACUGCAGUGCUGGAGUGUGGGAGAGGUGAGUGGAAUUCCCGGUGUAGCGGUGAAAUGCGUAGAUAGUCGGGAGGAACACCUGUGGCGAAAGCGGCUCACUGGACCACAACUGACGCUGAGGCGCGAAAGCUAGGGGAG
rnacentral:rRNA from 1 species